rnacentral:rRNA from 1 species
UCGACGAUGAACCACUUCGGUGGGGAUUAKUGGCGAACGGGUGAGUAACACGUGGGCAAUCUGCCCUUCACUCUGGGACAAGCCCUGGAAACGGGGUCUAAUACCGGAUACCACUACCGCAGGCAUCUGUGGUGGUUGAAAGCUCCGGCGGUGAAGGAUGAGCCCGCGGCCUAUCAGCUUGUUGGUGAGGUAAUGGCUCACCAAGGCGACGACGGGUAGCCGGCCUGAGAGGGCGACCGGCCACACUGGGACUGAGACACGGCCCAGACUCCUACGGGAGGCAGCAGUGGGGAAUAUUGCACAAUGGGCGAAAGCCUGAUGCAGCGACGCCGCGUGAGGGAUGACGGCCUUCGGGUUGUAAACCUCUUUCAGCAGGGAAGAAGCGAAAGUGACGGUACCUGCAGAAGAAGCGCCGGCUAACUACGUGCCAGCAGCCGCGGUAAUACGUAGGGCGCAAGCGUUGUCCGGAAUUAUUGGGCGUAAAGAGCUCGUAGGCGGCUUGUCACGUCGGGUGUG